UUCUAGUCCGACCUCCUACAAUGCAGGAAUCUCAACCAAGACCAUCCAAGGCCAUCUAACCUCUGCUUAAAAACCUCCAGCGAAGGAGAGUCCGCCGCCUUCCGAGAGAUUCCUUUCCACUGUCAAACAGUGUAAAAGGAGAAUGGGGAGUGUACCUUUCUGCAUGAGAUCAAGAAAGGAAGCGCUCCAGCUCCUCAAGAAGUUGGUCAGCCAAGCAUUCUUUGGAAGUUGUGGUCUGUUAAUUCCUUUGGGAAUCAAUUCCUCACAUGUGCCAGGAGGAGAUCACAUCCUGCUUCCUUCACAGGGCCAUGUUUCCAGAGAAUGGUCCGCGUCUCCAGCUCCCAACCUGAUGGGCAAGGGGGCAACCAAGCCAUCCAUACAGUUCCUGGUUGCCCCUUUUGGAUCCCAGUGCAGCCUAGUGAAGAGCAAAGCUGUUAACACACCCGCGUUUGCUCAGCACACAACCCAAGCGGAAGCGGAACUCAGGGCCUUUCCUCAAAAGGGCCACGCUUCCGGAGAAUGGUCUGCGUCUCCAGCUCCCAGGCUGAUGGGCAAGAGUGCAACCAAGGCGUCCGUGCAGUUCCUGGUUUCCCUUUCUGGAUCCCAGGUCAGCCCUACCAAGGCACUGAAGGAAUCCUCAUAGAAGCAUCUUUGUCCUCGUGCCUCUUCGCCACUUCCCAUUGUUUGUGUGGGUAUGGCGCCUCCUCAGCCGGACUUUGGGCCAGAACUUUGCUGCUACAUCCUCACUAAAGGAGAGCUCCAGGAUAGAAGGUGAUCAUGCUUACUUCUGUUGCUGCAAAAAGCUUAUCUACUACUGCCUACAGCCCAAGUAACAACUGAAAUGACCCAAGGACCCAGAGGUGGAUGAAGAGCUGGAAACCCAGAUUAAGAGUCUGUAACCUGAAGCGUAUGUAACCUGAGGCAUCUGUAACCCGAGGCACCAUUGUACAUUGGUCUGCUGCCUUUGUGUCUGAGAGCAGAAUCUCUGUAAGGAGACAUGUGCAGUGCAAUAGCUAGGAUUAGCAUCCAACGCGACGAGACUGGUGCAUCUCACAGGACAGAACUAUCCAAACUGUAAAGAAAUUUAUUCAUGGAUGCGACUACAGUGGCUAGAAUGUUACUUGCCCAAGAAUGGAAAGAAGUCCCAGUGAAAGAAGAAUGGAUUCAAAAACUUAUGGAAUAUGCAGAAACUGCAAAACUUACCAGAAAAAUUAGAAAUCAAGGAAUACUGCCAACAGAAAUAAAGCAAAAUACAAGACCACUGCUUAUGUACUCAAUUACAGCUGCAAGAAUACUGGUAGCAAGAAGCUGGAAAUGCGAAAUAACACCUACAAGACAGGAUGCUAUAACUGAAAUUAUUUUCUUAUUGUUAAUUCUCUUUUGUUUUUAUUUUUAUUCUCUUUCUCUUUUUAUCUUCGUGUUUAAUUUUGUUGUAACCAUUUGUAAUACAUUUGUAAGAUGAUAUUUUAAAUCAAUAAAGAUUGUUUUUUU